CCCUUAGAUGUCCUGGGCUGCACGCGCGCUACACUGGAAGUUACGGAUUGAGAUACUACCUUGUCCGAAAUGGUCCGGGUAAUCACCUAAAAGCUUGUCAUAAUUGGAAUGGAUUAUUGUAACUAGUAAUCCUGAACGAGGAAUUCCUAGUAAGUCCCAGUCAACAGCUGGUACUGAUUACGUCCCUGCCCUUUGUACACACCGCCCGUCGCUACUACUGAUUGGACGUUUAAGCAAGAUUUUUAAACACUGACAGUGUGUAGUUCACGCUAUACUACAGUGAGAAGAAGAAGAUCGAGCUUACUUGUCUAGAGGAAGUAAAUGUCGUAACA
rnacentral:rRNA from 1 species